rnacentral:rRNA from 1 species
GAUGAACGCUGGCGGCGUGCCUAAUACAUGCAAGUCGAGCGAACGGACGAGAAGCUUGCUUCUCUGAUGUUAGCGGCGGACGGGUGAGUAACACGUGGAUAACCUACCUAUAAGACUGGGAUAACUUCGGGAAACCGUAGCUAAUACCGGAUAAUAUUUUGAACCGCAUGGUUCAAAAGUGAAAGACGGUCUUGCUGUCACUUAUAGAUGGAUCCGCGCUGCAUUAGCUAGUUGGUAAGGUAACGGCUUACCAAGGCAACGAUGCAUAGCCGACCUGAGGGGGUGAUCGGCCACACUGGAACUGAGACACGGUCCAGACUCCUACGGGAGGCAGCAGUAGGGAAUCUUCCGCAAUGGGCGAAAGCCUGACGGAGCAACGCCGCGUGAGUGAUGAAGGUCUUCGGAUCGUAAAACUCUGUUAUUAGGGAAGAACAUAUGUGUAAGUACCUGUGCACAUCUUGACGGUACCUAAUCAGAAAGCCACGGCUAACUACGUG